rnacentral:rRNA from 1 species
AUUGAACGCUGGCGGCAGGCCUAACACAUGCAAGUCGAGCGAGCGGCGGACGGGUGAGUAAUGUAUGGGGAUCUGCCUGAUCGAGGGGGAUAACUACUGGAAACGGUGGAUAAUACCGCAUAAUAUCGGAUGAACCCAUAGGGGAUUAGCUAGUCGGUGGGGUAAAGGCUCACCAAGGCGAAGAUCUCUAGCUGGUCUGAGAGGAUGAUCAGCCACACUGGGACGGAGACACGGCCCAGACUCCUACGGGAGGCAGCAGUGGGGAAUAUUGCACAAUGGGCGCAAGCCUGAUGCAGCCAUGCCGCGUGUAUGAAGAAGGCCUUCGGGUUGUAAAGUACUUUCAGCGGAGAGGCGUUACCCGCAGAAGAAGCACCGGCUAACUCCGUGCCAGCAGCCGCGGUAAUUC